rnacentral:rRNA from 1 species
CCUACGGGAGGCACCAGUGGGGAAUAUUGCACAAUGGGCGCAAGCCUGAUGCAGCCAUGCCGCGUGUGUGAAGAAGGCCUUCGGGUUGUAAAGCACUUUCAGCGGGGAGGAAGGCGAUAAGGUUAAUAACCUUGUCGAUUGACGUUACCCGCAGAAGAAGCACCGGCUAACUCCGUGCCAGCAGCCGCGGUAAUACGGAGGUUGCAAGCGUUAAUCGGAAUUACUGGGCGUAAAGCGCACGCAGGCGGUCUGUCAAGUCGGAUGCGAAAUCCCCGGGCUUAACCUGGGAACUGCAUUCAAAACUGGCAGGCUGGAGUCUUGUAGAGGGGGGUAGAAUUCCAGGUGUAGCGGUGAAAUGCGUAGAGAUCUGGAGGAAUACCGGUGGCGAAGGCGGCCCCCUGGACAAAGACUGACGCUCAGGUGCGAAAGCGUGGGGAGCAAACAGGAUUAGAUACCCGGGUAGUC